rnacentral:rRNA from 1 species
UACGGAGGGAGCUAGCGUUGUUCGGAAUUACUGGGCGUAAAGCGCGCGUAGGCGGCUUUGUAAGUUAGAGGUGAAAGCCCGGGGCUCAACCCCGGAAUUGCCUUUAAGACUGCAUCGCUUGAAUCCGGGAGAGGUGAGUGGAAUUCCGAGUGUAGAGGUGAAAUUCGUAGAUAUUCGGAAGAACACCAGUGGCGAAGGCGGCUCACUGGACCGGCAUUGACGCUGAGGUGCGAAGGCGUGGGGAGCAAACAGG